UACGGGGGGAGCAAGCGUUGUUCGGAUUUACUGGGCGUAAAGGGCGCGUAGGCGGCCAGCGCAAGUCAGUUGUGAAAUCUCCGGGCUUAACUCGGAAAGGUCAACUGAUACUGCGCGGCUAGAGUGCGGAAGGGGCAACUGGAAUUCUUGGUGUAGCGGUGAAAUGCGUAGAUAUCAAGAGGAACACCUGAGGCGAAGGCGGGUUGCUGGGCCGACACUGACGCUGAUGCGCGAAAGCCAGGGGAGCGAACGGG
rnacentral:rRNA from 1 species